AAAGACCUGAAGUAGACCAGCA
rnacentral:rRNA from 1 species